rnacentral:rRNA from 1 species
UACGUAGGAGGCAAGCGUUGUCCGGAAUUACUGGGCGUAAAGGCUCGUAGGCGGCCAACUAAGUCAUACGUGAAAUCCCUCGGCUUAACCGGGGAACUGCGUCUGAUACUGGAUGGCUUGAGUUCGGGAGAGGGAUGCGGAAUUCCAGGUGUAGCGGUGAAAUGCGUAGAUAUCUGGAGGAACACCGGUGGCGAAGGCGGCAUCCUGGACCGAUACUGACGCUGAGGAGCGAAAGCCAGGGGA